rnacentral:rRNA from 1 species
GACGAACGCUGGCGGCGCGCUUAACACAUGCAAGUCGAACGGAAAGGCCUGCUUUCCCUUGUGGAUUGCGGGUACUCGAGUGGCGAACGGGUGAGUAACACGUGAGUGAUCUGCCCCCAACUUGGGUAUAAGCCUGGGAAACUGGGUCUAAUUCCCGAUAGGACUGCAGGGUGGUGCCUGUGGUGGAACACGAUUUUCUAGUGGUUGGGGAUGAGCUCGCGGCCUAUCAGCUUGUUGGUGGGGUAAUGGCCUACCAAGGCGGCGACGGGUAGCCGGCCUGAGAGGGUGGACGGCCGCAUUGGGACUGCGAUACGGCCCAGACGCCUACGGGAGGCAGCAGUGGGGAAUAUUGCACAAUGGGCGGAAGCCUGAUGCAGCGACGCCGAGUGGGGGAUGACGGCCUUCGGGUUGUAAUCUCCUUUCGACCGCGAGGAAGCCACCUGGUUGGAAGGGUGGUGACGGUAGUGGUAGAAGAAGCACCGGCUAACUACGUG